CUGACAUUUACGUCAGGGGCACUGACCAUUUUCAGUGACUUUAACCUAUACAGAUAAAAAUGUCAGCAAGACUUUGAUAGUAACAGAAACUAGACCGAAUGACAAUAAUACUAUAAGCAUUAAAUCUCUAAUAUUACAGAAUUACAGAGUUUUAGACUUUAGAUGACUGUAGCAGUGCCUGGUCCAGUGUUGGAAUCGCCUUGACAACAGCCUUGUAGGUGGUCACCUGCUGCUACUUAAAUAGUUAGCCUGACAGGAAGUUGGAAAGCAGCCCAUUCUAUUAUGUGGUAGCUUUUCAUAUUGGAAACUCUUUACAUUGAGUUGGUAUUGUUAUCCCUAUGAAUUUCUACCCAUGGGCUCUGCCCUCUGGAGCCAAGGUCUGCAAAGUAUUUGCUGACAGCAAUUAUGUUUGCUCUAAUUUUCUUCUUUUUCCAGGAAACACAUCUCUAGUUCUGAGUUAUAUGUCAUAUGUGGGACAAAGGUCAAGUGAAAGAAAGAAAAUAAUGUGCUGUGGCUUAUUAUUAGAACUCAAGGAGUUGGAAUUUAUCCUGGGUCAUCAAAUUUCCAGGUUGAGUGGAAGACUUUGAAGCUAUGUAAGGAUCCGCCUGCAAUGCAGGAGACCUGGAUUCAAUCUCUGGGUCUGGAGGAUCCCUUGGAGAAGUGAAUGUCUACCCACUCCAGUAUUCUUGCCUGGAGAAUUCCAUGGACAGAGGAGCCUGAUGGGCUACAGUUCAUGGGGUUGCAAAGAGUCGGACACAACUGAGUGACUAACACUUUCACUUCACCUUUUCAUGCUGAACCAUACAGAAAAUUUUUUUAAAGUGUAAAAUGAAAUUAGCCCACUCUCUCAAAAUCUUUUGUUUUCCACAUGUUUCUUUUUUAAAUAAAAUAUAUUUAUUUCUUCCUAGCUUUCUGAGCAUCUUACUUUUGUUUUAAAGCAUUCCAUAAACUUUUUCAGGGAACUUUCUUGGAGGAAAGAAAAUUUUGAACUGGAGCUUGAAGAAAUGAAAAUUUUCUGAGCAGGAAGGAGCACAAAAAUACUCCAGGUAUAGGGACUUGCUUGUGCAAGGCAGGAAGCUGUGAUCUGAAUUUGGGAAUUGGGAAACACUGGGCUGCUUACUGGGGUGUGAGAAGGGAAAUGGGAACAGAUGCAGCUAGGAAAAACAUUGAAGCCAGGCUAUUAAGCAUCUAAUGUACAUCCUUGGGUAGCAGAGAAACAGCAGAGGUGGUUUUUUUUUUUGGUAAUUUAAUGGCUGUGCUGGGUCUUCAUAGCUGUGCAGGCUUUUCCCCAUUGUGGAGAGUGGGAGCUACUUUCUAGUCGUGAUGUGCCGGCUUCUCACUGUGGUGGCUUCUCUUGUUACAGAACACAGGCUCUAGGGUGCUUGGGCUUCAGUAGCUGCGGUUCCUGGGCUCUAGAGGAGGAUCAAUAGUUGUGGUACACAGGUUCGUUGCUCCGUGGCAUGUGGGAUCUUCCCGGAUCAGGAAUUUAAUCUGGUCUCCUGCAUUGGCAGGUGGAUUCUUUACCACUGAGCCACCAGGGAAGCUCCAAAAGGUUUUAACAUUCUUACCCUUAAUUAUUUAUAAAUAACUUCAGAUUUACAGAAAAAUUGUGAGUAUUAAUAUAAGGAACACAUAUAUAUCUCCUUUACUCAGAUUCACUUAUUGUUAAUAUUUUGUCCCAUUUGCUUUUUUAUUUGAUCUCUCUCUCAUAAUACAUACAUACAUAAGUGUGUGUACACAUAUACAUACACAUACGUUUUCCUGUACCACUCAAGAGUAAGUGGAAUCAUGAUCCUCUUCUCCUAAAUACCUUUGUGUGUUUUUCAUAGAAAUAGGGAUGCCCUCUUCAUAACCACACAACAGUUACCAGCUUUAGUAAAUUGAACACUGAUAUAAUACUUUUUAAUCUAACUUGGG
rnacentral:lncRNA from 1 species